AAAUUCUAUUCAAAAGUCUACUUUGCUAUGACUAAUUGUUAGGCAAGCAGCAGAGUUACUCAAGACAAAUAUUACUGGUUUUGAACUGACAUUAAUAUCUUUAGAAAGCCUAACUAUCUGUGUGGGGCAACAUUUUUAAUCAGAAUGUCACCUGAAGGCCUCCAGAAGUUAAAUAACUUUAUUAUGUGAGAAGAAAAAGAUUCAUUAACAUUUUGCCAUGUAUGUGUGGAUAAAUUAUUCUUUCUGGGCAAUGAAACAAGAAUGCCAACACUAUAUAUGUUUAAUAAAACUUGUGCUAGGUUGGCAGUUAAUAUUAUAUCUAGUAGAUUUUUGCAUCUGUUUCAGUUGUCUUCUGUGACAUCACAAAAAACCCCAACAUUUAGUGGCUUAAAACAAUUCACUGCUGUUGCUCAUGGCUCUGUAGGUUGACCAGGCUCAACUCAGCUUGGAGUUCUUGUUUGGGACCUCUCAUAUGGUGGUGGUUUGAUGGUGGCUGGGGCUAGAGUAAUCUGAAGGCUUGCCUGGGGUGGAUAUCUAAGAUGGCUUCCUGACGCACAUCUUUGGCUCAUCUUCUGGAAUGACUGGAAGAGCUAGAGAUCAUGUGUUCAAAAUCAACUAUGUUCUUCUGAAAUUGUGAAUAAAAAGAUUGCAGAAUGCCGA